rnacentral:rRNA from 1 species
GAUGAACGCUGGCGGUCUGCUUAACACAUGCAAGUCGAACGAACUCUUCGGAGUGAGUGGCGGACGGGUGAGUAACGCGUGAGAAUCUGCCUGUGGGUCGGGGACAACCACUGGAAACGGUGGCUAAUACCGGAUGAGCCGAAAAGGUAAAAGAUUUAUUGCCCACAGAUGAGCUCGCGUCUGAUUAGCUAGUUGGUAAGGUAAUGGCUUACCAAGGCGACAAUCAGUAUCUGGUUUGAGAGGAUGAUCAGACACACUGGAACUGAGACACGGUCCAGACUCCUACGGGAGGCAGCAGUGGGAAUCUUCCGCAAUGGGCGCAAGCCUGACGGAGCAAUUUCGCGUGAAGGAUGACGGCCUAUGGGUUGUAACUUCUUUUUCAGGUAGGAAUAAAUGACGUGUACCUGAAGAAUAAGCAU